GCAGGCUCCAGGCUCUGAGCUGUCAGCACAGAGCCCAAUGCAGGGCUUGAACUUGUGAACCUCGAGAUCAGGACCUGAGCCAAAGUUGGCCACUUAGCCACCUGAGCCACUCAGGCACCCCUCACAUUUGAUCCUUACAACAGAUCCUGGAAGUAUCACACAGUGGCUAUAGCAAGGAGGGCUUGAACUGAACUAUGUCUGCAUGGAGCGCAACCAAAGAAGAGUCAAGUGUGCAAAAGAAUAACAAGUCAAUGGUGUUCUCCAGGGCUGUCCAUUAGAGAGCGUAGACUCAGGUAAUUACCCCUUGGAGCUCUUUCCCGUAGUUCCCCUUGGAGGGAAUUAUUGGAUGAAUUCAUUAUGGAUUGACGUCACUGGCCAUUGGGAUUGUUGAACACACCCCAUAUUCUGAUUUGCUCUUCACCAAGGAAUCCUCUGUCUACAAUCUGACCAUCUAUGUACAUCUCCUCCCGGAAGAGAAUGUGUUGAUUAGAGAAGGCUUGAGUCCUGCUUCCUAAAGUUGUUAAUGUUUUUCAUCAUAAAUUAAUGAAUUAUUAACAUAGUGUUUAAUUUAUGGGAGACAACACCUACUGUCUCUUCCGAUGCUUCUAGUGAAAACAUACCUUGAGGACAAUGGAAGUUUUCCAACGGUAUUAAUAUAUCUGCCAAUAUUGAAAUGUUGGCAACAGCAAUACCACCAUGUGAUCCAAAUGAAAUUAUCAUUUUAUAAUCCAUGUAUUAGAAUCUAUGAUGCAGAAAGAUACCUUUUUUUUCUUUUUUAGUUUUGACACCUAACUUAGGGUCUGGGUCUCUGGAUCAGCAAAUGAGUUUAUUUGCUAUGGAUUGAGGACCUACUAUGCACAAUUCACUGUCCCACAUGACUCGUAUACAUUCAAAUAAUCCUAAUAAUCUAGCAAGUAAGUUUUACUGUAUUCAUUUUAUAGACGAAGAAACAGAAACUCAGAAAAGCCACUUAACCAACCCCAAGCAUGCACAGCUAGGAAGAGCUGAUAUGAGAGGCAGCCGCCUUGCCUGAACUCGCGCAGCUUCCUGGAGCAGCCUACAUCUGAUGACUGGUCUACAUAGGAGUAGAAAGAGGCUGCCCAUCUUACCCCACUUCAGGAGAACUCUGAAGGGCCGUCCCAGUAUCGAAAGUCCCCCUUGGGAUUAGUUGCAGCUCUGCUGUGAUGACUUCUUCGUGUGCCCAGUCCUGCCUCCUUUCCUCCUGGCCACAGGUGUUCAUGUCAAGAGCUCUGCUGAGUAAGCAUCGGACCUGCUGGUCUCUGUCUCGUCCUGCUUCCCUGGGAACUCAGCCUGCCAAUGUGAGCUAACAAGUCUUUAAGCAAGAGAGCGAAAAGAUAUCACCCUCUUCUUACCUUGUUGGCUGCUCCUGCUCGGUCCCUUGCUGGCUGCUCUUUACCUCCACAACCUUCUGAUGUUGCAGUGUCCCAGAUCCCAGUCCUUGGACCUCUUCUCUUUCUCACCUCCCUCAUCCAAUGUGGGAGCUUAAUAAGUCGGUGACCCAUCUGAGCUGGCAUCAGAGGAAGGAUCAGGGUGCUCAAAAGAAGGGCUUUGGAUGAUGGCCUCCAAGGCACCCUCUUUCUGUGAAAGGGAGCAAGAGGAAUCAGUCAAGUUUCCUCACUGUGAUGUGCCGAGGAACUCUGUGUAUUCCCUGUGGAUAGUGGCCUGCCACUGGAGAGGCCACAGGCUGGAGCAAGGAGCUGACUCAUAGGAUUCAAGUAAUUCCUAGUACUCUACCUUCAGUGGGACACUUCUAAAAAUGAAUAAAGAAUUCCAACAAAUCAAUAAGAAAAAGACAAACAGCCCAAAAGAAAAAUGGAUAAAAGAAAUGAACCAGAAAAUCAAAGAAGAAGAAAUGGCCAAUAAUGAUACGAAAAGAUGAAUGAUCUGUAUUAUAGUCUUUUGCAACUUGCUGUUUGCAAUACAACACUAUGACUCUAAGCUUUUCAUCCACCCGUGGUAUUGUGUGUGGCAAUAUUCAUUUUCACUAGUGUGACAGUAUUUCAUUGGGUGAGUAUUCCACAAUUCUAUUCUCCCCAAAAUACAUGUAGCGUGAAUCUAUAUUUAUAAUGCUCAAAAACAGCUACAAAUCAUAUAUUAUAUUGCAAAACAAUACUUGAUAGAACUAUCUUUUUUUAAAAAGCCAAGUAAUGAUAAAGACAAAUUUCAAGAUAAUGUUUCCUUGGGGAAGGGGGAGAUUGACAUUGGGGAUGGGAUGAGAGAAUGUAUCUGUUAUCUAUUGCUGCAUAAGGAACCACACUGAAGCUUAGUGGCUUAAAACAAAAAUCAAUUAUUUCUCAUGAUUCUCUGGGUCAAGACUUCCCACAGGGUUCUUCCACACAGAACCAUCUGGCCCUCUCGUGCAACUGCAUUCAGCGGGACUGGGCUGGAUGGUCAAGAUGGCCCCACCCUCAAGGCUGCUAUGCCAUGGACCUUUUCUACUUGAUUUCUCUCACCAUGUGGUGUCUCAUCCUCCAGGGCCUCUUUUUCCAUGUGGCCUUUCCCUCCAGCAGGGUAGACUGGAUGUUCUUUACAAGGAGAAAACACCCACACAGUACUUGUGUAAUUAAAACUUAAUUACAAUUAAAAUAUAUUACCUAAUGAAAGAGUGCUCUGUGGCCAGAUUGUUUUUGGAAAUGCUGCAUACAGCAUCCCCUGUUAGAGCUUCAUAAUGCAAAAAAUAAAAAAAUAAAAAAAUAAAUAAAGCUUGCUAAAGGCUUUGAGAAGUCUCCCAAGGAGCAAAGAAGAAAAGACCUGCUUUGGUGAAAGGUGCUGGUAAGAGAAGGCAGAAGCGCUCCGCCUUCUCUGUCCUCAGGGAUAUAGGAAGGGAGUACUGAGGUAGAGAGAGCUCGAAGGCUGGGGCUCAUCAUCUGAACUCUGCUACUCCUGCUCCUUCAAAGCGCAGUGUAACUGAGGGAGGCUCUGACAGCCUCACACGUGAGGCCGGAAGUGGCCUGGAGGCCAGAGAGUCAACAGUGCUGCUCCUGGAAUUAGGUCACCUAGGUCCCAGUCCCUCCCCGCUGCCCUGCCCUGCUCUUGAAUUAGCUCAUUUUCCUGACUCCUAUCUCUAAUUUGCUUU